rnacentral:tRNA from 1 species
GGGGUUGUGGCUCAGGGGUAGAAUGCUUGCCUAGCAUGCAUGAGGCACUGGGUUCAAUCUCCAGCACCACA